rnacentral:lncRNA from 1 species
UUACUUCGAACCACCUCGUGACAACAUUAAGCUUGGGGCAGGCAAUACUCAUAAAUAUUGUGGUUAUCAUCAGGCAUCAGGUCACGACACGAAUGAAUGUUGUAGUUUAAAGGAAUUUAUGGAGAGGAAGGUCCAGAGUGGUGUGUUGGUCCAAUAUGUGGCCGAAAGAGAUCCCCAACAGGAACAAUCGAAUGAUGAUCGGACUGUUCAGGUAGUUCAACCAGUUCAACCUGCUCCAAAUCAGCCACCAAGGCACGCCGUUGAUGUUAUUACCGGGGGGACAGCAGGAAAGACGAUAGGGAAGAAAAGAC